ACCUGUUUGUUAUCUUGUUGGUGUUACUGUCAGCUAAUACCAGAUCUUUCUCGCUCAGACCAAGCUUUUUAACAGUGUUGGACAAGUCGUUCGGUCUUCGCUUUUGGCGACNGAGUGUAAAGUUUCCUGGAAUGUACGUCAUCUGUGUUGUUGGCAGGUGUUCCUUCAUAAGAAAAUUAAUUUUCAUUGUGAGUUUGUAAUGUUAUAAAUUGUGAAGGGCUGGGAGGUAAGUUAUAGAACUUCCUUAGUUGAUUAGAACCAAACUUCUAUUUUUAUCUUAUGUUUUGGUAGCUUUCNCUUGCCGCCGUUUUUGCCACGACUAUGAACAGUUCAGGAAGGCUUAUUUCAAAAAAUGCAAACACAUUUUACCUGAUGACUUAGAUGUCAAUACGUCACGUUUUUGAUGUAAUCCAUGUUUCAAAUGAUGUGGAGACUUUGUGGUCACCUCUGUAGUUUGCUGUUCGUAUCGUAACAGAGGACACGCCUUUGUAUGUGCUUUAAUUUGGUUGGAUAUUUGUUUUGCAGUUUGCUUCAAUCCUCUUCAUUUGCUGCGUGGAUAUCGAGUGCAGUCGUAUAUUUGCAAACAGAAUCGGAUGUAUAGAGUGUUGUUGCACGAAAUUCAAAGAAGAGGAAAAAGGAUAACGUGGUGAAGUUUGACUUGAAUAUCAAAGAAUUGCCCCAGAAAAGUUGUCCUUCGUUUAGCAGCCAUAUAUGGUAAUCUUACCUAUCUUAUCUUCAUGCAAUCCAUUUUAUGAUUUCUUUAUAUGAACGGCACAACUAGAUUGCUUAAGGUCUGUAAAUCCCAUCACGGUCUGUUGCGCCAACAAGCAUCACUUCUCAUUGAAGAAAUGUUAAAGUUGUUGGGUAUUAAAGAUUGGCUAGUGUGGUCUAAUGGUAUGUGUGCAGAUCUAAGAGAGGUCUGUGUGGCCUUGAAGCCUGUGUGGCUUUUAGUCUGGUCUAUGUGACAUCAAUGCCUGUGUGGCGUUCUGCCUGUGUACUCAUAUCAUAUGUUUGGUCAAGGAGGUAAUGGAUGAAUAAAUUCUGUUACAGCAGUUUAACUUAUUUAUAUUUGUUUAUCUUAGUUAUCAGAACNUUUUUCAGCUCUUUCAAGAAACUGGCACAUUGGUGCAUCUCAUCAANUGGUGAUUAUAUAGAAAGAAUAAAAGAAUGGAAAAGUUCAAGAAAGAUAAAGUUCAAGAAAGAAAAAGUUUCAAAUUAAUGUUUAUUAUAUUUCUGCGAGAUGUGCUGAGGAAUGCUGCUGCAAGUGAAAGGACAUUUAUAGUUUUAGUAUGUGAAAUAUUAAAGUUACCAGUAAAUCAAAUAUGCAACGAUGGUUAGCUUAUAUUUUUUUUAUACUUCGUUCUUCUUUAUUACCUCUGGCGAAGGGUGGGGCACACUUGGGAUGUAUGCCCCCUUUGGAACAAUUUGUACACUACUUCAAAAGAGAUUCAGUGUUGUAAGAGAUAUUUUCAUGAUGAGGUUNUCAUGGUAUAUUAUCUAAAAAUAUGAUUUAAGUAUUUGUUAUAAUUAAAGUAUUUCAAAAUAAAAUAACUAGACCCCGUAUGCAGGGUUGACACGUA
rnacentral:lncRNA from 1 species